rnacentral:rRNA from 1 species
GCAAGUCGAGGGGUAACGGGGUGCUUGCACCGCCGACGACCGGCGCACGGGUGCGUAACGCGUAUACAAUCUACCUUUUGCUGAGGAAUAGCCCAGAGAAAUUUGGAUUAAUGCCUCAUAGUAUGUUGACUUCGCAUGGGGACAAUAUUAAAGGAUACGGCAAAAGAUGAGUAUGCGUCCUAUUAGCUAGAUGGUAAGGUAACGGCUUACCAUGGCAACGAUAGGUAGGGGCCCUGAGAGGGGGAUC